rnacentral:rRNA from 1 species
CUGCUUCGCUUGACGAGUGGCGGACGGGUGAGUAAUGUCUGGGAAACUGCCUGAUGGAGGGGGAUAACUACUGGAAACGGUAGCUAAUACCGCAUAACGUCGCAAGACCAAAGAGGGGGACCUUCGGGCCUCUUGCCAUCGGAUGUGCCCAGAUGGGAUUAGCUAGUAGGUGGGGUAACGGCUCACCUAGGCGACGAUCCCUAGCUGGUCUGAGAGGAUGACCAGCCACACUGGAACUGAGACACGGUCCAGACUCCUACGGGAGGCAGCAGUGGGGAAUAUUGCACAAUGGGCGCAAGCCUGAUGCAGCCAUGCCGCGUGUAUGAAGAAGGCCUUCGGGUUGUAAAGUACUUUCAGCGGGGAGGAAGGCGAUAAGGUUAAUAACCUUGUCGAUUGACGUUACCCGCAGAAGAAGCACCGGCUAACUCCGUGCCAGCAGCCGCGGUAAUACGGAGGGUGCAAGCGUUAAUCGGAAUUACUGGGCGUAAAGCGCACGCAGGCGGUCUGUCAAGUCGGAUGUGAAAUCCCCGGGCUCAACCUGGGAACUGCAUUCGAAACUGGCAGGCUAGAGUCUUGUAGAGGGGGGUGGAAUUCCAGGUGUAGCGGUGAAAAUGCGUAGAGAUCUGGAGGAAUACCGGUGGCGAAAGGCGGCCCCCUGGACAAAGACUGACGCUCAGGGUGCGAAAGCGUGGGGAGCCAAACAGGAUUAGAUACCCUGGGUAGUCCACGCCCGUAAACGAUGUCGACUUUGGAAGUUUGUUGCCCUUGAAGGCGUGGCCUUCCGGAGCUUAACCGCGUUUAAGUUCACCGCCCUGGGGGGUACGGCCCCCAAGGUUAAAAACUCCAAAUGAAUUUGACGGGGGGCCCCCCCCAA